CAAAAACAUCGCCUCCUGCAAACCCUCAAUGUAUAGGAGGUCUUGCCUGCCCAGUGACACAUUGUUAAACGGCCGCGGUAUUCUGACCGUGCUAAGGUAGCGCAAUCACUUGUCUUUUAAAUGGAGACCUGUAUGAAUGGUGAAACGAGGGCUUAACUGUCUCCCUCCCUCAGUCAAUGAAAUUGAUCUGCCCGUGCAGAAGCGGACAUACAAAUACAAGACGAGAAGACCCUUUGGAGCUUAAGACAAAAAGCCAACUGUGUAAAAACCUCACAUUAAAUGAGACCCAACAAAACAGCCAACUGGCUAGCGUCUUCGGUUGGGGCGACCACGGGGGAAAACAAAGCCCCCAUGCAGAACGGGAUAACUCCCUAAACUAAGAAGGACACCUCUAAGUCGCAGAACAUCUGACUAAAAGAUCCGGUCAGUAAAACCGAUCAACGAACCAAGUUACCCUAGGGAUAACAGCGCAAUCCCCUUUAAGAGUCCAUAUCGACAAGGGGGUUUACGACCUCGAUGUUGGAUCAGGACAUCCUAAUGGUGCAGCCGCUAUUAAGGGUUCGUUUGUUCAACGAUUAAAGUCCUACGUGAUCUG
rnacentral:rRNA from 1 species